CCAAGCAUCCCAACAAUCACAUCUACUUUGAGAAUGGAAAGACCAUCUAUGCAGUAGUUCAAGAGCUGAAGAACACUCCUCAGGAGAUGCUGUUUGAUGCCAUUCAAACUGUGACAGGGUCUCCUAUUAAUCAGAAGAAUUUCCGGAUCUGGAAAGCAUCGCAUCAAGCCGCCACCCGUGAACUUCAGCGUAUCUAUGGAAAAGACGAAGUUGCUAUACAAUCUUGAUGCGAGAAUCUUCCUCAUUAACUUUUUGGGGGAUAGAUGGGAUUGCAUAGCACCAUACAAAAGCUUAUAGUAAAUUACUAAAUUAUAGACUGCAAAUUUGAAUAUUGGAGCUGGUGGAUGUUUACAGGUAUUUUGGCUAUGUGAAAUAGUUCAUAUUGAAAGUUAAUUAUUUUUGGAUGGUGGACAGUUUACAAAAUUUUGUAUGCGUGUUUAUUUUUCACCCUGAAAA